AGUGGAAUAGCUGGGUCAAAUGGUGGUUCUGUUCCAAGUUUUCUAAGGAAUCUCCAUACUGCUUUCCAAAGUGGGUACAUCAUUUUGCAAUCCUACCAGCAAU
rnacentral:pre_miRNA from 1 species